GUGAGUCAUCGAAUCUUUGAACGCACAUUGCGCCCCUUGGUAUUCCAUGGGGCAUGCCUGUUCGAGCGUCAUUUGAACCCUCAAGCUCUGCUUGGUGUUGGGUGUUUGUCCCGCCUCUGCGUGUGGACUCGCCUUAAAGGAAUUGGCGGCCAUGGAAUUCGGCUUUGAGCGCAGCACAUUGCGGACUCUUUGCUGGUACAUUGGCGUCCAGAAGCCCUUUUUUUACUCUUGACCUCGGAUCAGGUAGGGAUACCCGCUGAACUUAAGCAUAUCAAUAAGCGGAGGA
rnacentral:misc_RNA from 1 species